rnacentral:rRNA from 1 species
GACGUAGGGCGCGAGCGUUGUCCGGAUUUAUUGGGCGUAAAGAGCUCGUAGGCGGCUUGUCGCGUCGACUGUGAAAUCCCGCGGCUCAACUGCGGGUCUGCAGUCGAUACGGGCAGGCUAGAGUUCGGUAGGGGAGACUGGAAUUCCUGGUGUAGCGGUGAAAUGCGCAGAUAUCAGGAGGAACACCGAUGGCGAAGGCAGGUCUCUGGGCCGAUACUGACGCUGAGGAGCGAAAGCGUGGGGAGCGAACCGG